GUUUUGUUGAUCCUAUUUUUUUUCCUUCAUAGUGUGACAUUUUCACAAACAUCUAGAGGACUAUAUCUCUAAUAUCUUAAUUUUUAUUUUAUUUUGUAGUUUGUGAGAAGAUAUUCAGCCAAAGAAGGGGGGUUUUCAGUUCCAGUAGCAGCUGGUUUCCUCCUCAAGGAUUUUAAAGUAAACAGCAAGGAAAACUAAUACAACUUCUCCCAGGUCUGAUGAUGUGAUAUAGUUAACACCAUCGUCACGUGCCAUCGUCACAAUCCAUGGUCACAAACCAUUGUCACAACCCAUCCAUCGUCACAAACCAUCGUCACAAACCAUCAUCGCACAUUGUGUGGUGAAAAUUGGGGAGUGAUGAAAUUGGAGAGUGAUGAAAUUGGCUAGUGAUGAAAUUGGAGAGUGAUGAAAUUGGCUAGUGAUGAAAUUGGUGAGUGAUGAAAUUGGGGAGUGAUGAAAUUGGUGCGUGGUGAAACUGGUGUGUGGUAGACCGUCCUGACCGAGUUGCUUUCUCUCUUGAGGAAGUGUAUACACUAUGGAAGGUCAAGUGAGGAACAAUAGGAAGGUUCUGUAGCGAAGGAAUGGUUUACAACACAAAAACGAAAGGCCUUUGUUUAGAGUCGCUGAAGUGAAGACAAACCUGAGCCUCUUUCUAAAACAGGUUAAAGUGUAGAGUGAUGCAUGUAAAAUUGUAUUUGGGCAUAACUUUUGUUUCAAAUUAAAAAAGGUAAACUUUCUUAACUUUAACAUAAUGUUUACAAUCUUUUGCAAAAAAUUGAUUCUAACUUCAGCAUCAGAGUAUCUUUUUUGUGUUUUGCAGGUCUUGCCUUUUUAUUCUGAAAAAUUCAAUAAGGGGAGUUGUUUUGCAUAAAAUUGUUUCUAACUUGAACAUCAGAGUAUCUUUUUUGUGUUUUGCAGGUCUUGCCUUUUUAUUCCUACGACAAAUUUAAUAAGGAGAGUUGUUGAAACAGUAUGCUAGUGCCUCUUGGGGAAUGUUAUCAGUUUGGCUUUUGAUCAGUUUGCCUAUACGAUAUGUCUGGAUUAAAAGGGGGAAAAGCAUACCAAUCAAUCCUGUGAACUGAAAGCUUCAAAGAGAAUGAUUUUUGGAUAUAAGGGUUAAAAGGAGGGAGUCUGAUGACAAAGAAAUAUUUUCAACCAUUGCUGCUGGUGUUCUAGAAUAUCAUUCUGAUCUUUGAUAUGAGAGACCUGUAGCUGUAAUUUAUGUUGCUAUGUGUUAAUUUACUAAACUCUAAGAAUGUAUUGUAACAGUGCUUGGACCUCAUACCGGUGGGGUGACAUUGGCAUGGGCGGGAUGCUAGCCGGUCUGUCACACUGCACAUUAUAAUAGUGAUGUUCUGAAGAAAAAUCACUGACUCGUACUUGCGAUGGUGGUUCCAUUUAGCAAGACUUGGUCUUUCUGUAAAUAUGCUCGGACUUUGUUUUUGAAGCAUUGCUCGGAUUAUUUGUAUGGUGGCUUAUAAUUGCUUUCCAUACCAGAACUUGAUCCAGAACCUGAUGGGUAGUUGUAUCCCUUGUUGUCAACUGACAUCUAUUCAUAACUUUGAUUUUCAUGUACGCUA